AGAGUUUGAUCAUGGCUCAGAACGAACGUUAGCGGCGCGCUUAACACAUGCAAGUCGCACGAGAAAGGGAGCAAUCCCCGGUACAGUGGCGCACGGGUGAGUAACACGUAGGUAAUCUGCCUCUGAGUGGUGGAUAACCUCCCGAAAGGGGGGCUAAUACAGCAUAAGACCACGGCUUCGAAAGGAGCUGAGGUCAAAGCCGGCCUCUUCAUGAAAGCUGGUGCUCGGAGAUGAGCCUGCGGCCCAUCAGGUAGUUGGCGGGGUAAUGGCCCACCAAGCCAAAGACGGGUAGCUGGUCUGAGAGCAUGAUCAGCCACACUGGAACUGAGACACGGUCCAGACUCCUACGGGAGGCAGCAGUGGGGAAUCUUGCGCAAUGGGCGAAAGCCUGACGCAGCGACGCCGCGUGGGUGAUGAAGGCCUUCGGGUUGUAAAGCCCUGUGGGGAGAGACGAAUAAGUCGUGGCUAACAUCCACGAUGAUGACGGUAUCUCCUUAGCAAGCACCGGCUAACUCUGUGCCAGCAGCCGCGGUAAGACAGAGGGUGCAAACGUUGUUCGGAAUUACUGGGCGUAAAGCGCAUGUAGGCGGCCAAGCAGGUCGGAUGUGAAAUCCCUCGGCUCAACCAAGGAAGUGCAUUCGAAACCGCAUGGCUCGAGUCCCGGAGAGGAAGGUGGAAUUCUCGGUUUAGAGGUGAAAUUCGUAGAUAUCGAGAGGAACACCGGUGGCGAAAGCGGCCUUCUGGACGAGGACUGACGCUGAGAUGCGAAAGCGUGGGGAGCAAACAGGAUUAGAUACCCUGGUAGUCCACGCCGUAAACGAUGGGUGCUAGGUGUCGCGGGCUUUGACCCCUGCGGUGCCGUAGCUAACGCAUUAAGCACCCCGCCUGGGAAGUACGGGCCGCAAGGCUAAAACUCAAAUGAAUUGACGG
rnacentral:rRNA from 1 species